UAACUGAAAAAUCAACUAUAAAAGAAAAUUACCUUUUCCAUUUCAAAUAUGUUUUUUUCUAUGAUAAAGUAACAUGUUUUUUGUGUUGAGAACAAUUAAUAACUGUGUUCGAUGAUGAUAAUUAUCUUAUAUUACAUUGGUGAGUUUUUUUUAUUUAAUCCAUACAGAACACAGGAGCCAUUUCGUUCAAGGUUUGAGAGGGCGGCUUUCAUCCUAUCUCAUUCCACUUCGGCAUCUUCUAUCGUGAUACGCACCAUCCAACGACUUAUCACCAUCCCUCGGUUGUAAACACUGGUGGGUGAACAAACAAUAGCCAACAACCAAACAAAAGGGCGACCAAAUCAUUAUCAAAGAGUUUGACGAUGUAAUUCUUCAAACAAAUCCAAAGUCAACAUGCAACAUAUAGCCUGACGGAAUCCUACGUCGAAUAUGCGGUCGUGUCUCGGACACAACCCUCCUGUGGUUUUUUUCCUUCUAAUGAAAAUGCUAUGCUUACUUUGAAGUAGCUCGGUUGCGAGUAAUUUUCGGAUCGUUUGACGUUUACUCGCAACUGAGUAAUUGACAACCUCUAAGCUCGGCUUUAGUUAGGCUAGAGUAUUCUUCGAAAAACGGGGAUUGUAGCGGUAUGUGGACGCACUAGAAGGACACCUUCCUUAGGGUGUUCAUUUUAUCACCUAUUCCCCUGCAUGUUUCGCUAGAAUAAAACAAUGCAGUCGACCGCGUGGCUGAUAUUUGUUUCUCUAUUUUUAGCAUGCGGUUACUCUUCCCACCCGCGUGGUUCAUCGUCAGCGUUUUGGGUUUGGCUCUCGCCUUAUAUAUCGGGAUGUUCCAAGUGUAACGUGAUUAAAAGCUUUGAUGCAAAAUUCUAUGAUGAUCUGAUUAUGAUCUUUCUAUUAUGAUGAUGAUCAUCUUCACCCAAGGGCCCAAAUAGACGAUACAAAAAUGCCUUCAAAGUCUUAGACAAGGUACUGAAAGCAGAUUUGUAUAAGGAGGAAUUCGCUUUAUCUCAACGAUGAGAAUCUAUGUUCUGCAGAGACCACGGGAACAGCGUUGAUGUACAAAUAAAUUUAAAUUGAACA